rnacentral:lncRNA from 1 species
UCUGCUUGAAAAUAAACAUUCUUCUAUAAGCACUCAUGGCUGUGGCAGCCCUUGUUGCCACUUGUCUCUUUGAGUAGUCAUACAGUUUGUUGGUCAUACAGUUUCCAAGUGGCUGUUGUGAUUGGGGUUCAUGGAGACUCCUUUUUGGCUAUAAGCCAAGACCAGAUGCUUUGGUUUUUUGAAUGAGAAAUUAGAGAAAAAGGUUAUUGUUUUUUAAAUUUAUUUGGUGAACAAGUAUUUUAUUGACAGCUGAAAUUAAAGAGGGGAAGAGGCUGGGAAAAUUUCUGUUUAAAAAAAAACAAAAAACACAUCAAUCUAGACUCACAGUAGUUACUGUUACUAAAAUAAGGUUUCUUUCUUUUUAGCUUUCCUGCCUGUAACUCUUCCAUUGGUCAUUUCUUCAUCACUUCAGCUGAAGGCAAAACAAAUUUUUCUUUGUCAGUUUGCAUUUCAUGUAUACACCACAGGAUUUACCCUAUUAAAUGGAAAUUGUACCACUAAGGAUGAAGAGAACU